AUCUAGACCUAGUUAGCAGCAUGUAUUUAUCCUGUUAAGGGUAGAGAUUAGAAUGAAAAUGUAAUGUUUACCCUGGAGAAAGCCAGGAUUGUGUCUGGUAGAAGUUUGGAG
rnacentral:miRNA from 1 species